rnacentral:piRNA from 1 species
UGGGAAAGCCACAGGCACUGACCACCAGCCA